CACGUAGGGACCAAGCGUUGUUCGGAUUUACUGGGCGUAAAGGGCGCGUAGGCGGCGUGACAAGUCACUUGUGAAAUCUCUGAGCUUAACUCAGAACGGCCAAGUGAAACUGUUGUGCUAGAGUGCAGAAGGGGCAAUCGGAAUUCUUGGUGUAGCGGUGAAAUGCGUAGAUAUCAAGAGGAACACCUGAGGUGAAGACGGGUUGCUGGGCUGACACUGACGCUGAGGCGCGAAAGCCAGGGGAGCAAACGGG
rnacentral:rRNA from 1 species